GACUGCUAUCGGAUUGAGAUUUAGCCAUGCGAGUCGAAAGCAACCCUGUUGCGGGGGGCGUGGCGUACGGCUCAGUAACACGUAGUCAACCUGCCCUGGAGACAAGGACAACCCCGGGAAACUGGGAUUAAUCCUCGAUAGGUCAUCUCAUCUGGAAGGAGAGAUGGCUUAAAGGGGUACGAGGGCUUCUUCCACGUAUUCGCUCCAGGAUGGGACUGCGACCGAUCAGGCUGUUGGCGGGGUAAUGGCCCACCAAACCUGUAACCGGUACGGGCCUUGAGAGAGGUGGCCCGGAGAUGGACACUGAGAGAAGGGUCCAGGUCCUACGGGGCGCAGCAGGCGCGAAACCUUCACAAUGCGCGAAAGCGUGACGAGGUUAAUCCGAGUGACUCCCGCUGAGGGGGUCUUUUGUCAGCUGUAAAUAGGCAGGCGAAUAAGGGGAGGGCAAGCCUGGUGUCAGCCGCCGCGGUAAUACCAGCUCCUCGAGUGGUCGGGACGAUUAUUGGGCCUAAAGCAUCCGUAGCCGGUUCCGUAGGUCUUCUGUUAAAUCCAACAGCUUAACUGUUGACCUGCAGAGGAUACCGCGGGACUAGGAGGCGGGAGAGGCGGACGGUACUCCGCGUGUAGGGGUAAAAUCCUUUGAUCCGCGGAACACCACCAGUGGCGAAGGCGGUCCGCCAGAACGCGCUCGACGGUGAGAGAUGAAAGCUGGGGGAGCGAACCGGAUUACAUACCCGGGUAGUCCCAGCCGUUAACGAUGCUAGCUAGAUGAUUCAUUCGCAAAGUCGCGAAUGAAGUGUCGCACGGAAAGCCGUUAAGCUAGCCCUGGGGAGUACGGUCGCAGAACUGAAACUUAA
rnacentral:rRNA from 1 species